rnacentral:rRNA from 1 species
CUUGGUUCUGGCAUCGAUGAAGAACGCAGCGAAAUGCGAUAAGUAAUGUGAAUUGCAGAAUUCAGUGAAUCAUCGAAUCUUUGAACGCACAUUGCGCCCGCUGGAAUUCCAGCGGGCAUGCCUGUUCGAGCGUCAUU